UGCGGGGUGGAGCAGUGGUAGCUCGUUAGGCCCAUAACCUAAAGGUCAGAGGUUCGAAUCCUCUCCCCGCUACCA
rnacentral:tRNA from 1 species